ACCAAAGUUCAAACCUAUUACUAGAAAUUCUCCCAUAUGAGUAAACAAGUGAGAUACUUUCCCGCACCCCUUGUAAAAGGGAUUAAGUAGGGUUGUCCCAACCCUAAUAAUGAAGCCCAAAACUUACUCAAUGACGGGCAAUUAUGGCCUUAAGUAUUGUAUGGGUCAGGCAGGGCUAGCUCUAUAACAAAUAGGUUAAGUCUAGACCCUACCUAAAAGAUCUUUUUUUUUUUUUGUUGGAGUAGAUGCUUCUAUAAAAUAGAAGCACCAUAAAAUAGUAUAAAGGAUAACUGUUG
rnacentral:lncRNA from 1 species